UUAUAAGAGACAGCAGCAGCCACGGGAAUACAGAGGGUGCGAGCGUUAAUCGGAUUUACUGGGCGUAAAGCGUGCGUAGGCGGCUUCUUAAGUCGGAUGUGAAAUCCCUGAGCUUAACUUAGGAAUUGCAUUCGAUACUGGGAAGCUAGAGUAUGGGAGAGGAUGGUAGAAUUCCAGGUGUAGCGGUGAAAUGCGUAGAGAUCUGGAGGAAUACCGAUGGCGAAGGCAGCCAUCUGGCCUAAUACUGACGCUGAGGUACGAAAGCAUGGGGAGCAAACAGGAUUAGAUACCCGCGUAGUCCCUGUCUCUUAUAC
rnacentral:rRNA from 1 species